rnacentral:lncRNA from 1 species
GACUCGAAAAGGGAUAAAAUUUCAAUGGACAGAGAAAUGUGAACAAAGCUUCCAAGAGCUGAAACGAAGAUUAGUCACAGCUCCAGUGUUAACAAUACCUGACGGACCAGAAGGAUUUGUCAUAUAUAGUGAUGCUUCGAAACAGGGCAUAGGAUGUGUUCUGAUGCAAAAAGGGAAGGUGAUAGCCUACGCUUCUAGACAAUUGAAACAAUAUGAACAAAACUACCCAACCCAUGAUCUAGAAUUGGCUGCAGUAGUUCAUGCCCUCAAGAUAUGGCGUCAUUACUUAUAUGGAAAUAAGUGUAACAUUUAUACUGAUCAUAAGAGUUUGAAGUAUUUUUUCACCCAAAAAGAACUAAAUAUGAGGCAGAGGAGAUGGCUAGAGCUAGUAAAGGAUUAUGACUGCACUAUCCAUUACCAUCCUGGUAAAGCUAAUGUAAUAGCUGAUGCUCUUAGUAGAAAGGCAGUGGGACAAUUAGCAGUACAAAUCACUAUGCAGGAUCAGUUGUUAAAGGAUUUCGACAACUUACAUCUAGAAGUAAUUGUUCCACCAACCCAAACUAGUGCCAGGAUAGCAGCUCUAACGAUUCGACCAACACUUAGAAAUCGAAUAAGAGCAGCACAGGAUGGUGACCCUUUCCUGCAAAAGAUCAAAUCCGAAGUUGGUACUAGCAAGCGAAAGGAUUUUGAAUAGGUAGUGAUAAAGCCUAACUCUUUAAAGGGAGGUUGUGUGUGCCGAAAGAUGAGGGACUGAGGAAAGAAAUUCUUGAAGAAGCACACUUAACUCCAUAUACUGCCCAUCCAGGAGGUACAAAAAUGUAUCGUGAUCUAAGGAGCAUGUUUUGGUGGAGAAAUAUGAAACGAUGCAUAGGUCUUUUUGUCAGGAGAUGCAUGACUUGUCAGCAAGUGAAAGCUGAACAUCAAAGACCAUCUGGAUUGUUAGAACCAUUAACAAUUCCACAAUGAAAAUGGGAACAUAUAACUAUGGAUUUUGUUAUGGGUUUUCCAAAAUCAGCUAAGGGAAAUGAUGCUAUGUGGGUUAUAGUAGACCGGUUAACAAAGUAAACUCAUUUUCUACCUGUAAGAAUGAAUUUUAGUAUGGAUCAAUACGUGCGGUUAUACAUCAAAGAGGUCAUCCUUUUGCAUGGUAUCCCAGCCUCAAUUGUAUCGGAUAGAGAUCCAAGAUUUACCUCAAAAUUUUGGAAAAGUUUGCAAGAGGCUAUGAGAACCAAGUUAAACUUUAGCACAGCUUUCCAUCCACAAACUGAUGGACAAUCGGAGAGGACCAUACAGACUUUAGAGGAUAUGCUGCGUUCAUGCGUCCUUGAUUUAGGGGGCAGUUGGGAAAAUUAUGUACCACUGGUAGAGUUUGCCUAUAAUAAUAGCUACCAAGCUACGAUAAAGAUGGCACCUUACGAAGCUCUUUAUGGCAGAAGAUGUAGAGCUCCCCUCUAUUGGGAUGAAGUAGGUGAACGAAGAGUUCUGGGACCCGAAAUAAUUGAAGAAACUAGUCGAGCGGUUGAUAAAAUAAGAGCUAGAAUCAAGACAGCCCAGGACCGACAAAAGAGCUAUGCCGAUAAAAGGAGGAAAGAUUUGACAUUUAAUGUUGGUGACAAAGUUUUCUUAAAAGUGGCACCGAUGAAGGGAGUUCUCCGUUUUGGGAAGAAAGGAAAACUUCGGCCGAGAUUCAUAGGUCCUUUUGAAAUUUUGCAGAAAGUUGGAAAUGCAGCUUAUCGAAUCGCUCUACCACCAGAUUUGUCAGCGGUUCAUGAUGUGUUCCACGUGUCAAUGCUUCGACGAUAUGUGUCAGAUCCAAGUCAUGUGGUUAGUUAUCAUCCAUUGGAUAUCAAACAAAACAUGACAUAUGAGGAAAAACCAGUAGCAAUAUUGGAUCGCAGAAUCCAGCAGUUAAGGACAAAAGAAAUUCCGUUAGUAAGAGUUCAAUGGAGAAACCAUAAUGUCGAAGAAUCAACAUGGGAAAGAGAAGAAGAAAUCAAGACCAAGUAUCCAGAACUUUUUAACUAAAUUCAAGGUAAUUUCGAGGACGAAAUUUUUUUUAAGGGGGGAGGGAUGUAAUACUCCGAAAUUCUAUGCUCGUUUAAAUUUCUUUGGGAUAGCAAUUUAACUUUCAAUAUUAUUUUUGGCCAUACGGUAAAAGGGGACAACACCUUUGUAGUGGUUAAUGUUAGAGGUAGUUAAUGAAUGUAGGCAUGAAGUGUCAAGGUUGUGUAUACAUGAAGUGAUUAAUAGCUAGUCGAAACUUAAGGCAAGUUUGGAUUUAAAUGAAUGGAUUAUUUUGUUAAGGCUUCAAUUGAUCAAAUGAUUAAAUUAUGUUACAAUCUACAAUUUUUGAAUAUGUAAGUUGGGUAUAAGUUAAAUUUUGGGGUACACUUUGUUAACAAUGAAAGUUAGCGGGUUUAGAUUAUAUUAGUUGAAAAGAUGAGAGGUUUCCUUUGUAAAUCUAGGUUUUAAGGCCACUUAUUACCCUAUAAUCAACCCACUUGUCAUCCAUAAUUACCAUACACUUAGAUAAUAGACUAAACAUGUGUACAAGCAAGAAAAAAAAAAGAAAAAAUGGGAGAAAAGGGGUUGAGGCGGUGGAGAAGAGAAAACAAGAAAAAAAAUAUCAAGUUUUUAUCCUUAUCUUUAUAUAUAUAUAAAUACAUCCAUAUCCAUUGCCAUAGAGAGAUUUCCUUCAUUUUACAAAUCACUUAUACACUUAAAGAGAGAGCAAAAACCGAAAAUAAGAAAGGAAAGGAAAGGAAGUAAGACUAGCACUUCUAAUUUACAUCUCAACCGAAGAUCUUCAAGUUUACGGUAAGAUACUUUCCAUGCUUAAGAGUUAUAAUUUUCAUGGUAAUAUUUAUGCUGAAGCUAUGCAUGAAAAACCAUAAUAUGAUUAUGGUGGACAAGUCCACAAAGUUAGAUAGCUAUUUAUGCCUUAGGACAAGUCCGAAGGACACGGGCAAGCCGGAAUAUGCAAGUAUGGGUUUGAUUGUAUUCUUUUGUGUGGUAUUAUCAUGAUAAAAAUCCAAGCAUGGUAUCUUACUGAGUAUUUCUUAUACUCAUAGUAUGUUAUGCUAAAUUUUCAGAUCCAUGAUCGUUUGGAUUGAUGGAAGUUAGUUGGCUUAAGCGAUGAUGGAUUAAGGACAACGAAGUUUUGUACCGAAAGUUUUCUUUUGUGUGUUUUGUUCGAUGACAGUUUUUCCAUCUAUUUUUCUUAUGGUAUUAUGUAAAAAUAUGUACAUGACAUGAUGAAAUAUGGUAUUAAUAGUAAAUUUUGUAAUUAUAUCUUUCAUGUUAUGUUAAGAGACAUUUUUGUAGUUUAUUUUCCUUACAAGA